AUUGAACGCUGGCGGCAGGCUUAACACAUGCAAGUCGAGCGGGGUGAUGGUGCUUGCACUAUCACUUAGCGGCGGACGGGUGAGUAAUGCUUAGGAAUCUGCCUAUUAGUGGGGGACAACAUCUCGAAAGGGAUGCUAAUACCGCAUACGUCCUACGGGAGAAAGCAGGGGAUCACUUGUGACCUUGCGCUAAUAGAUGAGCCUAAGUCGGAUUAGCUAGUUGGUGGGGUAAAGGCCUACCAAGGCGACGAUCUGUAGCGGGUCUGAGAGGAUGAUCCGCCAAACGGGGACUGAGACACGGCCCAGACUACUACGGGAGGCAGCAGUGGGGAAUAUUGGACAAUGGGGGGAACCCUGAUCCAGCCAUGCCGCGUGUGUGAAGAAGGCCUUAUGGUUGUAAAGCACUUUAAGCGAGGAGGAGGCUCUUUUGGUUAAUACCCAAGAUGAGUGGACGUUACUCGCAGAAUAAGCACCGGCUAACUCUGUGCCAGCCGCCGCCGUAA
rnacentral:rRNA from 1 species